rnacentral:rRNA from 1 species
UGAGUAACACGUGGGUUACCUACCCCAAUGACCGGGACAACCCGAGGAAACUCGGGCUAAUACCGGAUGUGGUCUUCGGACGAAAGGAAGCUUCGGCCCCGCAUUGGGAUGGGCCCGCGGCGCAUUAGCUUGUUGGUGGGGUAACGACCUACCAAGGCGACGAUGCGUAGCUGGUCUGAGAGGACGAUCAGCCACACUGGGACUGAGACACGGCCCAG